AUGGGUUCUCCCUCCACCGCCGCCAUGACCUCCUCGGCUCUUGCCUCUCUGCCCAUGCCGUCCGGUCUCGCGGCGUCGCCGUCUUCCGUUGUUCCCCAACCCUCUGCUAGCCUCAUUACCGCCAAGCUCACCUCCUCCAACUAUCUUCUCUGGAAAGCUCAGAUCCUUCCUCCCCUUCGCAUCGCCGGUGUCACCGACUAUGUCGAGGGCACCACCCCCACUCCUGCUCGCCUCCUCCCGGCCGAUGACAAGGGGGAGCGUGCUCCUAAUCCGGAGUACGCUACCUGGUCCCGUCAGGAUCAAAUCAUCCUGAGCUACCUGCUUGCCUCGCUCACCGACGAUGUGCUUCAGCAGGUCCACCUCUUCGACACCUCCCGCGCCAUCUGGGCGCACCUCGAGGAGAUGUACGUCACGCAUUGCCGCGCCAGUGUGGUGCAGAUCAAGAUGGACAUGAUGAAUUUCUGCAAGGGCAACCUCUCCAUGGUCGACUACUUCACCAAGAUCCGCUCCAACGCCGAUCAGCUCGUUGCGGCGGGCCGCCCCAUGCGAGAGGAGGACAUCAUCACCGCCUUCAUCACCGGCCUCGACAGCGACUAUGAGCCACUCAUCACGGCUAUCACCACCCGCAUCGACGUCAUGACGCUGGGCGAACUCUACUCCCACGCCAUCUCCUUCGAGCGCCGCCGUGAGUAUCACGCGGCUCAUCUUCAACUUCACACGGGCGGCUCCUCUGUCAACUACGUUGCCCGCGACAACAACGGCAACUCCAACAACCGCGGCAAGGGCAACUACCGCGGCAAGGGUCGCAGCAACUCCGGUGACCGCGGUGACUACAACAACAACAACCGCGGCGGCUACCGCGGUGAUCGUGGCGGUGGUGGCAAUCGCCAAAACGCGAACGGCAACCGCGGUGGUGGUGACCGCGGUGACCACGAUGGUGGCAGUGAUGCACGUCUGCAGUGCCAACUCUGCCGGGGCCCUGGGCACUAUGCCUGGGAGUGUGCCCAACGCUACAACCACGCCUUCCAACCUCAGCACUCCAAGAUGGCGGGUCUAGCAGCUGCGUCACCACCAUCCAUCCUCGGCGAUCCUACCUGGUUCACUGACACGGGGGCCACCAAUCACAUCACGUCGGACCUGGACCGCCUCACCGUGAGGAAGAAAUAUCCUGGACAGGACCGCAUCCACACUGCCGAUGGAUCAGGUUUGCACAUAGCUCAACAUGGUCAUGCUCUCCUUCCUACUCCCUCUGCCCAUCUCAAACUUCGCAACAUACUACAUGUUCCAAAUGCCGAUAAGAAUCUCCUUUCUGUUAAUUGCCUUGCCACUGAUAAUCAUGCUUAUCUAAAAUAG
rnacentral:rRNA from 1 species